ACGGAUAUAAACUGUAUUGAAAUGAUCCAAUUGAAUCAAAGUAUGUAAUUGUGAGAAGUAUUUUCAAAAGUAGGUUGUUUAAUUAGUAUUUACUGAUUAAAAAAUAAGAAAAUCAUUCAAAGAAAUUCUUAUUUUUUCAGGUAGUUAAACAAUCUACUGUUUGCAACUGUAGCUAGUGAAUAGUCUACUUUGCUGUAUGAUUGAUUACAGUGAUUACAGGUUUUGAAGAAACAAUUGUUUAGUAUCUGUGUGUUUAUAUUAUGGACAUGGAUUAAACAAUUAACAUAGAUUAAGAUACUUAAUUGAAAGAACUUAAGCUAUAUAUGUGUAUGUAUACUGUACAGAAAUUUAUUCUAUGUUUAAAUCUUUUUGUGUAGAGGAAUGCUCAACCCCUUUUAUCAGGAUCUCAACCCCUUGUCUAUUGGUACUGGACCUCUGGAAGAGAUAAGUUUGAUUUCAUUGAUUGCAGAGGGAGUGUUUGUGAAAAAUUCAAAUUGUGCAAUAUAGCCAACAACCUGCAGUUUAUGAUAAUGCACAAUUUAUGAUAAUGAUGAUAUUAUAUCAUUAAUGUAAUGCAUGUUUUGUACAUGCAGGAUAUACCGUAAAUCUCCAAAUAUAAGCCCCCCAUGUAUAAGUCCCCCCCCCCCACGUAUAAGCCCACCACAUGUACUAACGCUCACCUCAUUCCAAAUAUAAGCCCCCCCCCUGAAUAUAAGCCCACCCAAAUAUAAAUAAGCCCACUUGUUUAUCACUAUUACAACUAUUUAUCAUUAUUAUUACUAUGCUUGUUUAACACUUGUUUAUCACUAUUACAACUAUUUAUCAUUAUUAUUACUAUGCUUGUUUAACACUUGUUUAUCACUAUUACUAUACUUGUUUAUUACUAUUAAACUAACACAAAAGAUUGUCCAUG